UACGGAGGGGGCUAGCGUUGUUCGGAAUUACUGGGCGUAAAGCGCACGUAGGCGGCUUUGUAAGUUAGAGGUGAAAGCCCGGAGCUCAACUCCGGAACUGCCUUUAAGACUGCAUCGCUUGAACGUCGGAGAGGUAAGUGGAAUUCCGAGUGUAGAGGUGAAAUUCGUAGAUAUACGGAAGAACACCAGUGGCGAAGGCGACUUACUGGACGACUGUUGACGCUGAGGUGCGAAAGCGUGGGGAGCAAACAGG
rnacentral:rRNA from 1 species